rnacentral:rRNA from 1 species
GAGUUUGAUCCUGGCUCAGGACGAACGCUGGCGGCGUGCCUAAUACAUGCAAGUCGAGCGGACCGAAGGGAGCUUGCUCUUUUAGGUUAGCGGCGGACGGGUGAGUAACACGUGGGCAACCUGCCCUGCAGACUGGGAUAACUUCGGGAAACCGGAGCUAAUAUCGGAUAACACCGAAAACCGCAUGGUUUUCGGUUGAAAGGCGGCUUUUAGCUGUCACUGCAGGAUGGGCCCGCGGCGCAUUAGCUAGUUGGUGAGGUAACGGCUCACCAAGGCGACGAUGCGUAGCCGACCUGAGAGGGUGACCGGCCACACUGGGACUGAGACACGGCCCAGACUCCUACGGGAGGCAGCAGUAGGGAAUCUUCCGCAAUGGACGAAAGUCUGACGGAGCAACGUCGCGUGAGCGAAGAAGGUCUUCGGAUCGUAAAGCUCUGUUGUCAGGGAAGAACAAGUACCGUUCGAACAGGGCGGUACCUUGACGGUACCUGACGAGGAAGCCACGGCUAACUACGUGCCAGCAGCCGCGGUAAUACGUAGGUGGCAAGCGUUGUCCGGAAUUAUUGGGCGUAAAGCGCGCGCAGGCGGUUCCUUAAGUCUGAUGUGAAAUCUCGCGGCUCAACCGCGAGUGGCCAUUGGAAACUGGGGAACUUGAGUGCAGGAGAGGGGAGCGGAAUUCCACGUGUAGCGGUGAAAUGCGUAGAGAUGUGGAGGAACACCAGUGGCGAAGGCGGCGAGAUGGCCUGUAACUGACGCUGAGGCGCGAAAGCGUGGGGAGCGAACAGGAUGAGAGACCCCUGGGAGGC